rnacentral:rRNA from 1 species
CAGCUAGCUUAUCCACCAACAUAACCAAACAAUAUAAAUAAAAUAGAAUAAACCCAAUACCAAAAACUAAACCAUUCUUUUACCUGAGUAUGGGAGACAGAAAAGGUUCAACCAAAGCAAUAGAAAUAGUACCGCAAGGGAAAGCUGAAAGAGAAAUGAAAUAACCCAUAUAAGUAUUAAAAAGCAAAGAUUAAACCUUGUACCUUUUGCAUCAUGAUUUAGCCAGUAAACACAAGCAAAGAGACCUUUAGUUUGAAACCCCGAAACCAGGUGAGCUACCCCGAGACAGCCUAUUAAGGGCCAACCCGUCUCUGUGGCAAAAGAGUGGGAAGAGCUCCGGGUAGAAGUGACAGACCUACCGAACCUGGUGAUAGCUGGUUGCCUAAGAAAUGAAUAGAAGUUCAGCCUCGUAUACCUCAAAUCAAACAAGCACUAACCAAGAUAUUAAGAGAAAAAUACGAGAGUUAGUUGAAGGGGGUACAGCCCCUUUAACAAAGGAUACAACCUUAUCCAGGAGGAUAAAGAUCAUAAUAUAUAAAAUAUACUGUUCUAGUGGGCCUAAGAGCAGCCACCUAAACAGAAAGCGUUAAAGCUCAGACAGAAAGAAGUUUAUUAUUCUGAUAAAAAAUCUUAUUCCCCUAAAUACUAUUAGGCUAAUCCAUGCCCCCAUGGAAGAAAUUAUGCUAAAAUGAGUAACAAGAAGGCUCGCCCUUCUCCCAGCACAAGUGUAAGCCAAACCGGACCAACCAUUGGCAAUUAACGAACUCAACCCAAGAGAGCAAUGUGAACCAUAAAAAGAACAAGAAAAACCCACACUUACAAUCGUUAUUCCCACACUGGAGUGCUAUUAAAGGAAAGACUAAAAGAAAAGGAAGGAACUCGGCAAACACAAGCCUCGCCUGUUUACCAAAAACAUCGCCUCCUGCAACACAACCAUGUAUAGGAGGUCCAGCCUGCCCAGUGACUACAAGUUCAACGGCCGCGGUAUUUUGACCGUGCAAAGGUAGCGCAAUCACUUGUCUUUUAAAUAGAGACCUGUAUGAAUGGCUAAACGAGGGCUUAGCUGUCUCCCCUUUCAAGUCAGUGAAAUUGAUCUGCCCGUGCAGAAGCG